AUUAAAACACCAAUUCCCACAUGAUCACCAAAGUUAAGCAACAUUGAGCUUGGUCAGUACUUGAAUAGGUGACUGCUUGGGAAUACCAGGUGCUGUAA